ACAGUCCUCGGGAGGAAAAAAAAUGAUAUCUCUUAAUAUUGGAGAUACCAAAAAAUUCUAAAGUAUUAAAUUAAUUUUACACUAGAAAAUAUGAUAAUCUCGGUACCAUCUCAAUAAUGAUAAAAUCACUCUUCUCAUCAACCCUCUCGUACGUCAUGAUAUAGGCCCUAGAGCAAAAGAAACUCGAGCCGUUGCAACAAGUACAAUAAGGUCCCAUUCUUUUCAGAUUAAUUUUAGGACCCUAUUUCUCAUUUUGCGCCUAGUACUUAAAUUUCUAGAGAUGGUCUGCUCCUUUAUACCUCUAAAGGAUAUAAAACAGCUUUACCAAGUGAGAUUACCAAGGUCAGCAAAGCAUAUCGAUAGAACUCGCGAGUGUUGUUCUGCAGCUGAGAUGAAAAAUACAGGAGAGGAGAAGAGCGUGGACAUAAUAAGUGGCACCGGCUGCUCAAUGAGAUGCGAUCAGCUGAGAAUGGGAUACAUCGAGAGUGUGGGUGGAGAGGUAUCCAGUCAGUCCAAAGCUCACGGGCACUAAAUCAGAUUCAGCUAACGGUGAACCGUUUCUGCAUCGGUUCAACAACAAAUAAGUGGGACAUUUAACUUUUUAUCACUUUUAAGAUGUGACAAGAAUUUGCAACUUACAAUCUACAACACGUGGGCUUUGAUUAUUACAAUCUUCAAAAACUAUAAUUGAUUAUUACAAAGUUAGUUGGAACUACUGUGAAGUAAAAACCAUGGCUUUGAUGGAUAACAUGAGAAAUAAUUGGAACACUAGCCUAAAGACUGAGGUAAUAACAUAUUGCUAAACUUCCAUCCGUAGUUGAUGAAAAUCCGUAAAGUUCAUGUAGUUCUUGGCUUUAUCAAAACAUUGCAAGAGUGCCCUAAAGUCGAAUUAAGCCACUAGAGAAUAUAUAACCACCGUACUUAGUAGCCAUGUCCGUCAGGAUACGUCGUCGCUUCUGAAUUCGAACUUAUGUUAUCUGACAUAUGUGUUGCUAGAUUUGGAUUGAGGUUGAACGACUCGUAUAUCCUGCUUUGUUCAUUGAGAAAUUUUAUAUUUUAUCCUUGAAAAAGUAUCUUAAGAUAUCUAAAUUUUACACUAAAAUUUUUUAUACUUCAAGGUAGCUAGUAAUCGAAGAUUUCAAGUUUUUUUUAAAAAAAAUGUAACCUCUAGUAUUUUUUAAUUAGGAUGAUAUCGUUGUAUACUAGGCUGCGGUUGGUCGCAUUCCAUGACCGGUGAGCUAAGCCCAAAUUCGGUUUGUAAUGCCCAGCCCAAAAUUCCAAGUCACAUGAACAGGAUCGAGAUCCAGUCCAACCAAUUCUGUGUGUACCUACGUUACACUCAUACCCAAUGGCCAUAUAAAUACCAUGGAUCCGUGAGUGAAUUGGUAGAGGCAACACUGAGAAAAAAAGACUGACUAUUUCCUUGAUCAGUUGCCAAGAGCGACAGUGCAUGUGACUAACACUACUAAAAAACCGUUUUUGCAAACGGGCCGAGCGAGCUUCACCGCCAACCGCAUGCGCCAAAUCGUCUGCAAAAAUGCAAAUCUUUGCAUGCGGCUAGGGCACCCGCAUGCGGUCACUUAUACCGGCCACAUGCGAAAAUAAAUUCAGCAAACAAAAAAAAUAAAAUCCAAAACCCCCCAAAAAAAUAAAAAUCCAAAAAAUCCCAAACCCUAGCCCGCCAUCCACGCCGCACGUUGCCCCCCCCCCCCCCCCCGCGCCGCCCGCCGUCGUCGCCCCGCUGGAUCCGUCGGCGGCAGCACCGGAUCCAUCGCCCCAGCCGACCCACCGACGUCGCCACCGCCGCUGCCGUCUCCCCCACCGCCCGCCAUCGUCGCCCCGCCGGAUCCGUCUCCCCCGCUGCCCGCCGUCGUCGCCCCCGCUGGAUCUGUCGGCGGCGGCACCGGAUGCGUCGCCCCAGCCACCCGGCGUCGUCGCCGGCGGCGGAUCCGUCACCCCCGCCACCCGCCGUCAUCGGUGGCACCGGAUCCGCGCAGUGCGGCGGUGCCACCCGAGGCGGCCAAGCCGCCCCUGCAGCGGUGGCAUUGAGGAAGAGGGAGGGUCGCCUCAUCGUCGUCGGUGAGGAAGAGAUGGCGGGCCGCCGAGCUGAGGCCGCCAAGCCGCCGCCCGCCGCCGCCGUAGCCGCGCCGCCCGCCGCCGCCGCUCAAUAUGGUGGCGGAUCCGGCCCUCCCGAGGGUGGUGCCGCCGGAUCCGCCAACCGCGCCGACGCCAUUGCCAUCUGCCGCCCGGCCGCUCUAAGAGAGGGAGAGGGAGAGAAAGAGAGAGGGAGAGAGAGGAGAGAAAGAGAGAGGGGAGAGUAAUAAAUUAAUAGAGGGAGAGAGAGGAGAUGAGGUAGAAAAAUUUUGAAGUGGUGGGAGGGAAAAAAGAGUGGAGGGAGAUAAAAAAAUUUGGGUGAUAUUUUUGCAUGCGGACCACUUAAGGAGCCGCAUGCAAAAAUCUAUUUUCGCAUGCGGACAACUUAAGGAGCCGCAUGCAAAAUAGUUAUUAAAAAAUAAUUUAAAAAUAUGAGAACUUGGAAUUAAAUUUUUUAAUACUAAAUGAACUCAAAUGAAAACAUUGCCAAAAACAAAGUAGUAGAACUCGUUGAGAUCUACCAAUUUUCUUUUGGUCAUUUCUCCAUCCGAGUUUGAUUGAACUAUAUAAAAUUUGAACUUUAUAAUAUAAGAAAUUCAAAUAAUUUUUUUACACAGUAAAUGAUUUCAAAUAGAAAAGUUGUCAACAACAAAGUUGUAUAACUUAUCAAGAUCUGCAACUUUUGUAUUGGUCAUUUUUCCAUAUGACUUUGUUUAAACAGUUUGAAUUUGAAUUUCAAAAUAUGACAAAUUCAAACAACAUUUUCAAAUACAAAAUGAUUUCAACUGAAAAAGUCAUCAAUAAUAAAGUUAUAUAACUCAUCAACAUCUAUAACUUCUAUUUUGGUCAUUUUCUUCAUCCGAUAAAUUGAUUUAUAAGAUUGUUCACAAAAUGUACAUCUCUUAUAUAAGAGAUGUACAUUUUGUGAACAAUCUUAUAAAUCAAUUUAUCGGAUGAAGAAAUGACCAAAAUAGAAGUUAUAGAUCUUGAUGAGUUAUACAACUUUGUUAUUGUCACGCCCCGAACUAGCCCUGAGCGGGACUAGCCCGUGACGCUCCAAAUUAACCUGUUAAUCGAUACUAGUCCCAGGAAACAGUGCUGGUAUCACAGGAAGACAGAAUAUCAUAGCAACAGAGGUCUCUUUAUUAUAGAGAAGGAGUACAGUCAUGUUGGGCUGCGGACAGAUCCCGAGCUCACAACUGCAUUACAAAAGGGAAGCGGAAGCCAAUACUUAGACCAAACAUCACAGCCGCGACUUGGGAACUAGGCUGAAACCCUAAAACUCAUCGUAGCCGACUUGCUCCUGGAAGAACUCCUCGUCAGCGGGAUUCGCUUCAUCUUCUUCAGCAACUAGGGGAGAUUAUUUAUAUAGAGAAAGGGUGAGUACAGGAGUACUCAGCAAGCCAUGGGAAAUAAGUGUUUAAUGCAGGCUUCAACGGGAAGGCUGUUGUUUUUGCAAUUGAUUUUAUUUAAACUCUUUUCUGAAACAACUAAGUGAGUGCUUCUCAAAUGACACGGAUGAGACAGUGCGUCUCGUCCGGUCGAAGUAUGUGCAAUGUAUCAGUCUUUUGAAUUGAUCAAGGUUGGCAUUCGGCCAACAGCUUUUAAAUGGCCACCCGGGCCUGGCUGAUCCCAUCAGCCGCAGAUUUUCCAAACAUCGAACCCAUUCCACAACAGCAAAUUUCACAAAGCAGUAGUCAAACAAAACUACGCUAGGAAUCACCUCACAUCCGCCCAUGACCGUGGGCACGACUGUUCGAACAGUUUAAUAACCUCUGCAGAGGGGGUACACUUUACCCACACGACAUUACUAACCCGGAUCAUCCAGCCCGUGCAGAACGGCCACGACUAGAGACCUUAAGGCUUUCAUGACAAGGCAUUUCGAAAGCCGACACAGGUUCACCAUAUGCCAACGAGAGGGGUCCCAGACCAACACCAGAUUAGGUCCCAGACCAUACUGUGCCAGGAAACCCGGGGGUUCUCCCCGACACCACCCCGUUGAAUCCACAUGUCUCUUGGCAUCAUGGCUCCCCCGAUUAGCUAGUUACUCAGCCAGGGGUGUCCCAUUCCACCCAUGUGGUCGCACUUGUCUUAUGUUUGGAUGAAAUUCCAAGGAAACGGUCCCUAAGUGCAAGAGUGGGAAACCGUACACCUGGUAUGUUCCCCGGUCUACGAUUUUUUGAAAAUUCAUUUAGUUCGCAAGCACCGACCUAGGUGUCGGGUUUUCCAAGUCUUUUGUAAAACCCAAGUUUUACCCAUGGUUGGAUAUUUUAUAUUUGGGGGGGGGUGUUCCGAUGCGCGUACCCGAAGGCCCGUGCAUCGAAGCACAACAGUUAACAAAGGAGAUUUAAGUGUUCAAUAAUUCAAGGAGGGUAAUUGCAGCAAUUAGGAUUGGGGGCCGGCAGGCCGUCUCGCAAACCGUGGCCGAAUUACUUGUGUAAAUCCUAUUCAUGCAAUAUUUGCGGAAAAGAAAUACUUAGAUUUAAAUUAUGGGUGCAAGAUGAUCAAAGGUGACUUACCUUGCUCGAGAUCUUGAGCUUGAUCCUCGAAAUCCUUGCACUGCGGGUCUUCGGGCUCCGAAACUACACGCGAAACGGGACAACUCAACAAACGGCGAAAAUAAAGCCCUAUUAUUGACCUCUAGGCGUGCCAUUAGAUAGAUUUCGAGAUUUGAGGAAUUUUGGAAGUUGAACGGAGUCAAACGGGCUUACGGUUGGGAAGAUAUUGAAUUUCUAAGAUUAUUGGAUUUUUGAUCUAAAGGAAAAGGAUUUAUUUAAAUCCUUUUUGAAAAAGAAAAGAAAAGAAGGAGGGAGGGAAAUUAGACUUUCCUCGGGCGGCUAGGGCGCGGCCCGAGAGAAAGGGGCGGCUUGGCUGAACUUAACGGGUCGGCCGGCCCGAGAAGGAGGCCCAAAGCAUGCGCGCGGGCGGAGAGGAGAGAGGAAGCCGGUGGGCCGGGUCCAUCCCGCGUGGUCCCGGGUGGGACCCGCUUGUCAGCGGCUCGGCUCACCGUGAGCGAGGUGCACGCGGGGCGUGCUAGGGUUUGUGGAGGGGAGGCGCGGCGCAUGCGCGCGGUUCGCGGAGGACGCGGUGCGGCGGGCCCACGCGCAGCCUCACGGCUCGCGGUGGACCGCGCGUGCGAGUGGGGCGGAGGGAAGCGGCGGACUGGGGUCAGCUUGACCCGGUCGCGGCCAAGGUGGCGCCGACGUGGUGCCUACGUGGCUGCCACGCGGGCCGGCGGGAGGUAGACGACGACGUCGGCCGGAACGGACGGCGGACGACGGUGGCGAGCGGCGGAGCGAACCACGGCAAUACAGGCGAAAGCGAGCACACCGGGAGGUCGCACGGGACGAGGGGAGACGAGCCAACGGCUCGGAUUCACCGGGGGAUGCUUGACGGCGGCGGAUUGCGGCGGCGGCAACCGGCGGCGAGAGAAGGGGGAAACGGCGACGGCGUGAUGGGAGACCGAUUCUGGCGAGCUAGAGCAUCUACGCGACUCCGGGAAUCCGUUGCUAGCGUCGGAUUGGGCGGAGCUACGCCGAGCGAGGCCGGCGACGAGCGGGCACUACGGAGCACGGGCGGCGACGGCAGCGAGCGCACAGCGAGCGGCUGCAACGGUCGGGGCGGCGCCUGCUAGCUACGGGGAGGCUACUCGUGCUACUACCCGAGUCUAAGGGGAGGAGAUGGAACGAGGAGGGAGAACGGAGGGAGGCACUACCGUGCGGGGUGAUGGAGCACAGUGACGAGGGGCCGACGGCACGGGAGUGAUCUCUCCGACCUCGGGCCGGGGAAGAGGAAGAAGACGAGUGCCCGGAGUCCCCUUCCGCGUCCUAGCGCGCACCGGCUCCUCCGGCACACGUGACGGCGGCGGUCGGCGAGAGAGACAGAGGGACGACAAUGGCGCGGGCGAAAAACGGGGAAGAUUGGGAGGGGAAAAAGGAAGGGAGGGCGCCUAGGUUUAUAGGGCGGCAAUGUCGGUUUGGAAACCGACCUUGGGCGGUCAAGGCGCGAGCUGGCGCUCGGCGCUCGCGGCCAAAACGGCGACAGAGGUGGAUGAUGCCGGCGGGGAAGAGAAAAGGAAAAAGGAAGGGAGAAAGGGGGGCUUGCCCCUUGCCUCUUUGGGAAAAGAAGGAGGGAGAGAGGGCGAUGAGGAGAAGCCCUGCCUCCUUUACUUGGAAGCACGCGUGGGGAGAGGCGGGGCCGAGUCGAUGACGACGGCGAUGACGGCGGGGGCGGUUUGGAACGGAGCUGCGACACGGACGGCAGGCGCGAACAAGUGCGGCAGAGGCUAACGACGGCGGCGACCAGGCGGUCGGCCACCACGGCGUGCGCGCGCGGGAAGCAACGGGCGGCGCGGCAAUUUGGGCGGCGCGGCUCGGGCACGCGGCAGGGCAGCGGGGCCGAGUGGCGCAGACGGCGCAGGCGUGGCACGGGCGGCGACCACGCGGGCGCGCGCGCGAAGCAACGGCGCGCGGGGCCGAUUUCGCGGGCGGGGAGCUCGCGGGGAUGGAGGCGGGGAGAGGGAGAGCGAGGGGGAGGCGCUCGGCGCGGCUCACGGGCAGAGCGGGGAGAGAGAGAGAGAGGGAGAGAUGGAGAGAUGGGGAGAUGGGGAGAUGGGCCGAGAGGAAUUCGGCCCAUCUAACCUGAGGGAGGCAAAAUAGACUUUUGCGGAGGGAUGUGAUUUGGGAAGGAUUUGGAUUCGGGAUUGAACUCCACGAUAGAUCGGGGAUUCGAGAUCUGAGAUGGCACGGACACUAGACAACAAGCAAAGAAACAGAUUUCGCAAUUAGGGUUUUUAAGAGAUAGUUUUUCCCGCUAGGCGCCACGACGGAACGGGCGCUACAGUUAUUGAUGACUUUUUCAGAUGAAAUUAUUUACUGCUUCAAAAUAUUAUUUGAAAUUUUAAAAUUCAAAUUUUUAAUUGAUAAAACAAAGUCACAAGAAAAAAUAGCCAAUAUAAUACCAGUAAGAAAACAAUAACAUGAUAGAGCAUGAUUUUAGAAACAUUUAGGAAAAAAAUCAUCCAAUUUGGAGUUCAUAUGAGUGAGAUACACUAGUUUCAAAAUUUUCAAUUUUUAUUUUCGUAUACGGCUUCUUAAGUGGCCCGUAUGGAAAAAUCGAUUUUUUCAUGCGGUCGCUUAAGUGAGCCGCAUGCAAAAAUGAGCUUAUUUUUGCAUGCGGCCCUCUUAAGAGACCCGUAUGGGAAAAUCGAUUUUUCUAUACGGGCCACUUAAGCAGCUGUAUGGGAAAAUGGCCCUCGAUUUUUUCAGACGCCACUAGUUUUGGUCCGCAUGAAAAAAUGAUGGGGUCUCGUAUAGAAAAAUCACUUUUGUAGUAGUGUAAUUUGGUGAUUCCAACCAUCGUAUCUUUUCGGAAUGGGAUGGAUUAGGAACUCAAACUGAAGGGAAAUUAUCCUAUAAUGCUAUGGUAUGGGCAUAGUACUUAGUUGGCUGGAAACAAUGUCACUUCCACUGCGAGAUCCACAUAAUCGCAAUGUGAGGUGGGAACAUGAGUUAUAGGCAAAAUAUGAAGGUGCCCUGCACUAGCUCUAGCUAACAUGUUUUACACUUUUACUAGCUAAACAGGCAUGUUUUGGGGUACUUGAUUUGUACGACAUGCUAGCAUGAACAAUAUAGAGCAAACAGGUCCCAGUCAUGGAUGAUGCUCUCAGGGUCUCCAUCUUCUAUGAACUCUUGUGAAAUUGUACUGGAUGCUCAGAAAAACACUUGCGCAACAACUAUUCAUCCAUUCCAAAAUAUAAGAUUUUCUAGGUUAUUUAGCAAAUACUAAGGUUAGGUGAAAAGAUACUCUUUUAGUAAAUUCUUUGCCAAUUUUUAAAUUUUGAAUUUCUUAAUUAGGUUGUCUUUGCAAGCAAGUGCAAUGUACCGUAUAAAUGCAGUUAAAACAAUUACUAGUUGCAUACACAAAUUUCAAAGGGUGACACCUUUUACAGUUGUACCCACGUAAUUUUAUUUUAUGGUCAAAUGUACGGUUCUAACUUUAAGUUGUUCAGAAGCACAUGACAGAGCUACAGCAAAAACUACAAGAGGACAAAAAAUUUGUGGUAAGAAGAAGAUAUUCCUUAUCACUAGAGAAAAAAAACAUUUUCCAAUAAAAAUUCAUCAUUCAGCUACUAGUACAUUUUUUAAGGAAAAAAAAGAGUCGAUUGAUUGUUUGCAUCCACAACUGCUGCUUGUACCGAUCAAAACCAAAAGAAAAAACAAUCAGUGAGACGCUCUGGUGAAGCACGAUUCUUCGUCACCCUCUGCUCUCAUGUCCAUAAACACUUGAUUCAAACUUACCCUGUAGACUACACAGUAUAGCUUUGUGCAAAACCCAAACUUGCAAUCAUGGUCUCACCUUUAGCGGCAGGCAAACCUUCUCAGAUUCUCUUGGGUGUGGGAAGCGCCAGGAAAUUUAGCCCAAGUGAUUUCAUCACACCUGGGGUGGUCGGCUUGAUUGUUCAGAGUGCUUGCAGCUUCAGAGUUCAGAAGUGCGUUGGUUCAGUCGCAGCUUGGUGGCACCGCUCGGCCUCUGGAGAACAUCAACGACAAAUUGGCCCAUGCAGCUGUGUGUGCGAGCGAAGGUACAAAACCAGCCGCACCACCCCAUGUCAAAAGGUCCUAUCAUUCCGGCGAUGAAUCCCUGAGUUUGGCGUGUUUAUGUUCAUUCAGCUUUCUAUGUAUGGAUUACUCUCUGCUUGAUAUCUGCUUGGUCGCAUUCCAUGACCGGUGAGCUAAGCCCAAAUUCGGUUUGUAAUGCCCAGCCCACAAUUUCAAGUCACAUGAACGGGAUCGUUGUCUAUGAUAAAGAUCCAGUCCAACCAAUUCUGUGUGUACCUACGUUACACUCAUACCCAAUGGCCAUAUAAAUACCAUGGAUCCGUGAGUGAAUUG
rnacentral:lncRNA from 1 species